rnacentral:lncRNA from 1 species
AAUCUGUUGCAUGGAUUUGAGGUGGAAUUGGAGGAGGGCAUGAGGGCUGAGGAUGUAAGCUUAGAGGAACAGUACGGACUCGCCACAAAUCCAAAACACCCUGUUUCCAUCAUUGUGAAACCUACACUUCCUGCCCAUCUAUACUAAAUUAGUUUCUCAGUAAUUGCUAAAUACUUUCAUCAACAAUUCAAGAUGAUAUAUAUGGAUAUCUUGUGUUUGUGUGUACACAUAUAUAUGUGAAUUAUAUUGAUGAUAUAUGAAUGGCCCAGAUUUGGUGAAAUCCAGCUUCCCCUAUAUUUUGCAGUUGAGAUAUGCAUGUCUUUCAAUUUCAUUAGGAAUUAUGUUAUGUGUAUAUAUCUUUUUUGUUUNGUUUCCACCCUCCGACGCCGCUUACAGCCUGGAGUCACCGCAUACUCCAGCCUGCCUUUCUCUCUAUUUCAAUUCGCUUAUCAUUCUAUUUUGCUAUUCCGAUACUGACUUGAGCGUCGGAGGCUCUACGGUCGACACCCCCACCCGGUGCUCAACCUAGGGCUCUUACGUGUUCUUGUGUUGACAGGUUGCUAGUGCCCAAACUAUCCGGACGUGCAGACGUCAACUUCAAUUGUAGAUUUUAGCCUCUACAAUAACUAUAAAAUUGUCAUUUAAUUUUGAAAGUGAUUCUCAAUUGAAAGUUGUUUUUUUAAUGUAUUAUAGAUCAUAGAUUAUAGAUAUAGAUAUAGGUUAAUAAUUUACAUUACACGUACCCUCCAGCUGGACAAAAUCAACGCUACAAGUUGUAGAUCAAAAAGAAAGAGUAGUUACCAAUACAUUUCACGCGAUAAACUACAUUUUUUUGUUUAGACAUUGGAAUAGAAAAUUCAACAUUUUCUCCGAGGAAAAUCUCGUUUUCUUACUCCAUUUACAACAAAUGUCACAUCCCACAGUUGAAGUCUAUUUUUCUAAAUUACAAAUCACCCAAAACAAAAAAAUAUUUUUCACUCUGUUUUAGCCAAUACCGACCUCGCUACGCAGCAAACAUGUGUACAGUAAAAUAAAAUAAACACAGAGAGAGACUAUAAGUAUCCAAUAUUUCGUGAACAAAAAAUAAACGCAGUUAAACCCACAACUUCUCUGCAAAACAUCCAGCAUCACAUUUUCACUCACAAAUGGAAAAUCCCUGGUUACUAUUAGCCCUACUUUCCGCCCUUGCAAUAGCCUUCAUCUCAAAGAUAGUAUUCAAAACUGAUCAAAAACUCGGGCCGCCCGGUCCAAAACCAUGGCCUAUAAUAGGCAAUCUGAACCUUCUUGGCUCAAUCCCACAUCAAUCCCUCCACCAUUUAUCCCAAAAAUACGGCGAAAUAAUGUUACUAAAGUUGGGAAAAUUUCCAGUGGUGGUGGCAUCAUCACCCAAGAUGGCCGAGCAGUUCCUCAAGGUGCACGAUGCAGCCUUCGCGUCGAGGCCUCCCGCACUUGCCGCCGGCAAGCACAUCAGCUACGACAACUCUGACGUGUCCUUCUCUCCCUACGGCCCAUACUGGCGAGAAGCGCGUAAAAUAUUGAUGUCGGAGCUCUUGGGCACCAAAAAACUGGACCAGUUUGAGCAAAUUCGCGUUGAGGCGAGGCGUUCUUUCUUCUCACGUCUCAAAGCCCUGUCGGGGAAGCCGGUUGUGCUCAGAGAGCAUCUAUCGCGUUACAUUAUGUCGACAAUUUGUAGGAUGGUUAUGACGAAUGAAUAUGUUGGCGAUAGCUCUAUUAUAGAUGAUGGUGGCAUGGCGGAGAUGAUGCGCGACUGGUUUGUGCUCACUGGAGUGUUCAAUAUCGGGGACUGGAUACCGUGGCUCGGCCCUCUUGAUCUGCAGGGCUACGUUAGGAGAAUGAAGGCUUUCCGCAAGAAAUCAGACAGUUUUUUUGGGUAUGUGAUUGAUGAUCACAUAGCUAGAAGAAGAGACGGCGCCGACAAAGAUUUUGUUGAUGCCUUGCUAGAUUUAGCUGAGGAUCCAAAUGCUCAACUUCAUCUCACAAGGGACUCUCUCAAGUCAUUGAUAAUGGUACUAGUUUCUCACAUUUUUUAUUUUUAAUUCACCAUUUUUCAAAGCUAGACUGUUUCAUGUAUAACUGCACUCUCUCUACAUAUAUUAUUGUAGAACGUUGUACUUGGCGGCCCAGACACCUCAAUCACAACAGUGGAAUGGGCCUUACACGAAAUGUUCAGACAACCGCGCAUAUUUGAGAGAGCGAGGGCAGAGCUAGAUGCAGUGAUCGGCAGGGAUAGAUGGGUGGAGGAGAAUGACUUCACUCAGUUGCCGUACGUUGAUGCCAUCAUCAUGGAGACAUUCCGCUUGCAUCCAAUUGCUACGCUUUUAGCUCCCCAUUACGCGAUUCAGGAUUGCAACGUUGCAGGUAUAAGAGAUUAGUUUCUUACACAUGCAUUUAUAUACCAAGUAUGAGACGUAACACAAAAAUAUUGCAGGAUACAACAUAUCAAAAGGGACGAGCAUCCUCAUAAAUACAUGGAGCAUAGGCAGGGAUCCCAACACUUGGGAUGCGGCUGAGGAAUUCUUGCCGGAGAGGUUUAUGGGGAAACAGACCGAUAUGACCGGAGGUAACUUUGCGCUAUUGCCGUUUGGGUCGGGCAGGAGGAUAUGCCCGGCAUACAACCUCGGCCUUAAGAUUGUUCGAACAACGUUGGCUAAUCUGUUGCAUGGAUUUGAGGUAGAAUUGGAGGAGGGCAUGAGGGGCGAGGAUGUAAGCUUAGAGGAACAGUACGGACUCGCCACAAAUCCAAAACACCCUGUUUCCAUCAUUGUGAAACCUACACUUCCUGCCCAUCUAUACUAAAUUAGUUUCUCAGUAAUUGCUAAAUAUUUUCAUCAACAAUUCAAGAUGAUAUAUAUGGAUAUCUUGUGUUUGUGUGUACACAUAUAUAUGUGAAUUAUAUUGAUGAUAUAUGAAUGGCCCAGAUUUGGUGAAAUCCAGCUUCCCCUAUAUUUUGCAGUUGAGAUAUGCAUGUCUUUCAAUUUCAUUAGGAAUUAUGUUAUGUGUAUAUAUCUUUUUUGUUUUUUUGAGAACCAUGCAUUAUGUAUAUUAAUUACAUGAGCAUCUGUCG